CAUUCUAAAUUCCACAGCCCAGGGCUUCAAGCAUACCCACCACUGAUUUCAAUUUGUUCUUCCCAUUUGGCCCAAGGCAAAGUGAUGACAGUGACUGAAAAUAUGGGUCUUCUAUAUCCCCACAAUGUACCUUCAAAAAAAAUUGCCACCUACAACCCUCUUUAUGGGACCAAUGGUUUCUCUUCUUCAAUCAUCCUCGCCUUCAAGGGAAAGAAUCUGAGGGCUUCGUCAAUUCAAUCCACUUGCCCUUUCCUUACAUCUGGUUCAGAAUUCCUGGAAGAGACUGAACAGGAUUCUCCAGGGACUAUGAGUGCGAAGAAACUCCUGAACAUGGCAGCGAUGGCCAAAAACUUGUUUUACAAGUACCUCACCAGUGAAAAGACUUCCGCUGUAAUCAAAAGAAAUUUCAAGAGGAUGAAUUAAAUAGAAACUAUUUAAUAAAUA